CAGAGAAGAAAAGCAGCAGCUGCCGCUGUUACUGCUGAGAGACUAGAUUGAGAGAAAUUUAGACAAAGGGAGAGAUGACUUAAUAGAGAGGAACUUGGAGAAGAGAAUCAAGAUAACUAGGUUGCUGUUGAAUGAAAAUCAAUGGAUAAGUAAAAGAAGAUCGGAUAACUGAAGUUGGUACUGAUUCAAAAUGAGAUUUGAAUCAGAAAUUGUGAAGAACUCGAUGAGUAUUAUUGGGUUUGACUGUGAUUUGGUGAGUGGAAGAUAUGGGCGUUCGAGUAUGCUACUGUAAUGAAGAAAUCUGGGUUUUAACAGAAACUGGAGUUGGGUUUUGAAUGAAUUGGAUUGUUACAGCGAGAUGGUUGUGUCUGGUUCGAGUUUGUGCUGCAUAUGAUGUUGCAGUCAAUGACAAUGGAGCUUUUGAAGUAUAUCUGAGCUGAGUUGAAGCAGGUGGAAGAAUAUGGUGAUGCUUUGUGUUGGUUCAAUGGAUUGGAUAUGGAGAUAAUGCUGCUGGUUGUGCUGUUGGCUUGAGGCGCAAGUGUAUGUUGCUGUUGUAUGGGAUAUGAAGCUGAGAAGUCAAGGUGUUGUGCAUUUGUGGGGUUAUGCUAUGUGUUUCUAGAGAGUGGAAAUUGGUGGUGAAGUGGCUUGGCUUAUUGAUGAUCAACUAGAUGUAUGUUAGGAGUUGAUAUUGCAGGUUCUGGUACAGCUGCAGAAAGUCAGGGACGAUAUGGAGUUAACUGAGUGGUUGUUGGCAGUGAAAGGGUUGGCUUUAUUGCAGUUUAAGCAGGUUAUGCACUUGCAGGUGGAGUUAUAGUCAGAUGAGAAAUGAUGGUGCUGCUGCCAUGUAUGAUUGAGCUGCAGUAAGAGAUGCAGGUAGAGUGGUAUGCAGGUGAUGGUACUGUAUUGUAGCAUCUGGGAUUGACAGUUGAACAUGGUGUUGUUGCCUGUUCAUCAUGUGUAAAUGGUUGGAACAAACUGAAUGUGCAGAGAGUUCAAAGUAUAAGGAAAUUAGUAAAGCUGGAGUUUACUGAUUGAAAUUGGGAUGGACUUGAAGGAGUUGAUGUGACUGAAAUGAAGCUGAGAUGAUGUUCAGUGUUAUCUGAUGGUGCUGGAAAUGGGUACGGUGUAACUCACUAUGCAGCUGGGAGCUGAAUUGUUGGUGGUGAUUGUUGGUUUCUGCAACAGGCUGAAGUUGCAGUUGGACAGGAAUGGUUGCAGCUAUAUGUAUUUGGAGCUUAAUCUGAGCUGAUGGUGAUGAAUUUGCCACAGGGUUGCAAUGAAGUUACACAAUGGAUCUGAGAUGCUGCAGGUUGAAUAUGGUGUUGAUGUUGGAGUUCAGCUGGUGGUGUUUCGCUUGAUGCUGAGAUUGUAGAAUAGCAGCUGGAAUUGAAGCUGCAGGUAGUGGAAGUGAUGUUGCAAUGCAGAUACUGAGAUUGAGAAGAUAUGAAGCUGCUGAAGCACAAUGAUUGUGCAACAUAACUUAGGCCAAUGCAAUGGCCAAGGCCAAAACUUUCUCAGCUAAUUCAGCUCAGUCAGGCUAGUUAGAUGCUGACUCGUUCUGACUCAGUGAAUUUGACUGGUUGGCUCGGUUUGACUCAGUUGACCCGACCGAGUUGAUUCGUUGACCGGUUACCGUGGUGGACUUUGCCGGUCACCUGAGAUGUUUUCCGACCGCUCCUCCGGCUAUCUUACCAGUUUUCGGCGACCUCCUUUGGGACAUAUUUUCUACAUGGGUGUUCUCACAUAUGGGCUUGGUGGACAUCUUUGUAUUGGGCUUUGGGCUUUGAAGACCUAGUUUUGGAAAGAGGAAAAGCUACAAAAAGAAAAAGCUUUUAUUCUUUGGAUCACGUAUUUUUCUACUUGGAGUUGGAGUUUUGGAGAGCGGCGACUAGGGUUUGCUUUCGUUUAUUUUUCAUCUUCUUCAUUUAUUAUUGAUUAUGAUUAUGAUGAACUCAAAAGCUAUGAGUAGCUAAAUAACUAUUAUUAGUUACGGGAUAAAAUUUGAUUUCUCAAGCAUGAUAUUUAAAUGUGAAAAAUACUAGAACCCCCUACUAUAUGGGUUCAAACAUAUAGAAGCUCCACUAUAUGGAUCAUCCACUGUCAACUCCAUAUUUUAAGAAAAUGAUAUUACUAGGCCCAAAAAAUCAAUUUUUCUUCAGAUCUGGCCCAUAAUUAAUUAUUACGAAUUUUAAUAAUACCAAGACUACCCUUUAGUAUUUAUACAAGAGGAAUAUCAGAAGAUAUUUUCAUUUUCUAUUUCAUUUUCUCUCUCCGUCUAAACCAGAGCUGCUCUCAUAGAUUCAUUUUCUAAGAUUUUAUCUAUUCGGUUGUACAAGAUCUAAUCUUCUGAUUUGAUUUCACAUCAACAAUUUGCAAGCAAAUCGAUCUGUGAUUUAGAAAGAAUCAAUUAUGUAUAGAGAUUUUUGUUCUACUCUAUCUUCUGCUAAAAGAAUUUAGUGGUUUUCGAUCUAUGUCAUCUAUGGCUGCCGAUGUACGACGAAGAGGAAAAAAUGACAUUGAUCUCUACUUCUGUAUCUGUAUCUACUGAUGAUGUUUCCAGAUCAUCAUUUGUUUGUGAAUAAGUCGAAAUCGAGAUGCAGAGACAAUAAAAUUCGUCAUCAACUAUUAGAUCUGAAGAUUCAACAACAAAAAGCUGAGAAAGAUAAGUUUCUCCCUUCUAAUCAUGUUUAAUUCAAUUAAAAUUCCUAGUUAUGUGAUUCGAAAAUAAAAUUGACUCUAAUUUGUUGUUUCGAAGCUACUUCAGGUAAGGUUUUCUAUUUGAUUUAAUAGGUUUUCCUGAUUUAGUAGUUCUACUUUCUUAGUUUGAUAAGGUUCUGAUUUUUGUUUCCUUGACUUUAUUCAGAUCGGAGAAGAACAUUAUUUUUAUUGAAUCAACAGGUUUUGAAUCUAGGUUCUGGAGGAGUAUGAGGAGGAUGUGGUGGUAGAGGUGGUGGUAUUGGAGCAGGUUUGAAAGAGGAUUUUGAAGUCAGUGGUGGUGUUUUUCAGAAUUGAUGAAUUGAAGGAGAUGAUGAGAAGAUAAAGGAUGAACUAUUUUAAGUUUCUACUACUGGUGCUAGUGGUGACAUGUAAUUAGUUGAUUUCACAAGUUACUAAGAAGGCUGACCCAAGGUGCUGGCUAACAAAGAUUCCAAGGCUCUCAAAGCUGGAGCAUCAACCAUUAAGAAGAAGGCUAAGAACAUCUGCACAUCAGUCACAUUUCACAGGCCAAAGACAUUGCAGAAGGCAAGGAAUCCCAAGUACCCAUGUAUUAGUGCACUACCAAGGAACAAGCUUGACCAUUACCAGAUCCUGAAAUACCCACUCACCACCGAGUCCGCAAUGAAGAA